rnacentral:rRNA from 1 species
GUGUCAGCAGCCGCGCGGUAAUACGGAGGGUGCAAGCGUUACUCGGAAUCACUGGGCGUAAAGCGCGCGCAGGCGGCUAGAUAAGUUGGAAGUGAAAUCCUAUGGCUCAACCAUAGAACUGCUUCCAAAACUGUUUAGCUAGAGUCUGGGAGGGGAAGAUGGAAUUAGUAGUGUAGGGGUAAAAUCCGUAGAGAUUACUAGGAAUACCAAAAGCGAAGGCGAUCUUCUGGAACAGUACUGACGCUGAGGCGCGAAAGCGUGGGGAGCAAACAGGAUUAGAUACCCUGGUAGUCCACGCCCUAAACGAUGAAUGUUAGUCGUCGGGACUCUAGUAGUUUCGGUGAUGCAGUUAACACAUUAAACAUUCCGCCUGGGGAGUACGGUCGCAAGAUUAAAACUCAAAGGAAUAGACGGGGACCCGCACAAGUGGUGGAGCAUGUGGUUUAAUUCGAAGAUACGCGAAGAACCUUACCUAGCCUUGACAUAUUUUAGAACUCCGCAGAGAUGUAGAGGUGCCUUCGGGAGCUAAUAUACAGGUGCUGCACGGCUGUCGUCAGCUCGUGUCGUGAGAUGUUGGGUUAAGUCCCGCAACGAGCGCAACCCUCGUUCUUAGUUACUAACGGUUCGGCCGAGGACUCUAAGAAGACUGCCUUCGUAAGGAGGAGGAAGGUGAGGACGACGUCAAGUCAUCAUGGCCCUUACGGCUAGGGCAACACACGUGCUACAAUGGUUAGGACAAUGAGACGCAAUACCGCGAGGUGGAGCAAAUCUAUAAACCUAAUCUCAGUUCGGAUUGUAGUCCGCAACUCGACUACAUGAAGCUGGAAUCACUAGUAAUCGUAGAUCAGCUAUGCUACGG